rnacentral:rRNA from 1 species
AAUUCUUAGUGGCGAAUGGGUGAGUAACACGUAGGUGACCUGCCCCGAAGUGUGGAAUAACAGUCCGAAAGGAUUGCUAAUACCGCAUGUGGUUCUAGUCUUUAGAAAGCUAGAUCUAAAGCAGAAAUGCGCUUCGGGAGGGGCCUGCGGUCCAUCAGCUAGUUGGUAGGGUAACGGCCUACCAAGGCGACGACGGAUAGGGGACCUGAGAGGGUGGCCCCCCACAUUGGCACUGAAACACGGGCCAAACUCCUACGGGAGGCAGCAGUCGGGAAUAUUGGUCAAUGGGCGAAAGCCUGAACCAGCAACGCCGCGUGCACGAUGAAGGCCUUCGGGUCGUAAAGUGCUUUUUAGAGGGAUGAGGAAGGACAGUACCUCUAGAAUAAGUCACGGCUAACUACGUGCCAGCAGCCGCGGUAAAACGUAGGUGACAAGCGUUAUCCGGAAUUACUGGGCGUAAAGCGCGUGCAGGCGGCUUCGCAAGUCGGGCAUGAAAUCUCUCGGCCUAACCGAGAGACGCUGUUCGAUACUGCGGAGCUUGAGGGCAGUAAAGGGUGGCGGAAUUCCGCAUGUAGUGGUGAAAUGCGUAGAGAUGCGGAGGAACACCAGUGGCGAAGGCGGCCACCUGGGCUGUCCCUGACGCUGAAGCGCGAAAGCUAGGGUAGCGAACGGGAUUAGAAACCCCGGUAGUCCUAGCCGUAAACGAUGUUAACUAGGUGUCGGCGAUUAAAAACCGUCGGUGCCGAAGCCAACGCGUUAAGUUAACCGCCUGGGGACUACGGCCGCAAGGUUAAAACUCAAAGGAAUUGACGGGAACCCGCACAAGCAGCGGAGCGUGUGGUUUAAUUCGAGGCUACGCGAAGAACCUUACCAGGGUUUGACAUGUACGUAGUAGUGAAGCGAAAGCGGAACGACCCUUCGGGGAGCGUACACAGGUGAUGCAUGGCUGUCGUCAGCUCGUGCCGUGAGGUGUUUGGUUAAGUCCACUAACGAGCGCAACCCUUAGAGCCAGUUACAAGUGUCUGGCUCGACUGCCGGUCUUAAGCCGGAGGAAAGGU